UUAAUCCCAAACUCCUAAUUUACCCCUCUCUCCUUUCCCCUGUGGUAACCAUAAGUUUGUUUUCUAUGCCUGUGAGUCUAUUUCUGCAUCGUCAAUAAGUUCAUUUGUAUCAACGUGUUUUAGAUUCCACAUAUAAAAAUCAGGUGAUGUUUACCUUUCUCUGUCUGACUUACUUCACUCUGUAUGACAAUCUCAGUCCAUGUUGCUGCAAGUGGCAUCAUUUGAUUCUUUGUAUGACUAAUAGUGUUUCAUUUAAACUUAUCUAUUGUGGGGUUUUUAUCUAUUGUCUUUUUUUUUUUUUUUUUUUUUAAUGGCUACGACCCACAGCAUAUGGAAUUUCCUGGGCCAGGGAUUGAAUCGAGCUGCAGAUGUGACCUACUCUGCAGCUGUAGCAACAUUGGAUUCUUUAACCCACUGCUCCGGGGGGGAUAGCUACUGAGGGAGCCACUGCAGUUGGAUUUUAACCCACUGCACCACAGCAGGAACUCCCAUGGAUUGGUUUUUGUGUCAUCUCCUUGAGUAAGUUUCUGGAUGGUCCCUGGGAGUUGCCACCUGCGUACUGACUUCCACAGGCUACUGAGGAUCCGUGUCCUGCCCCCGGCCCUUCAGGUCCCUUUACCCUCCUGUCUCUAGUUUAGUCCUCUUGUAUGUUACAUCUACAGGUGCAAAACCUCCCCAAGCAAUGUUCUCAAACAUAGUCUUAAAGCAAAAUGUUUAAGACCUGGGAGAGGCGAAUCUGUCACCUUCACUCAGAUGGUCACUGCUUCCGUCUCACGAGCUUUGAUGUUUCUCGAAUUUGCCAGAGCGACUCCAGGCUGCUACAGAGGCAUGGCCAGCAUGGACCUCCAGGGCCACAUCCCAGGGUCUAAGUGCAGGUGACGUCAGGGGUGAUGACCUGGGACUUGGAGCCCAGAUGCGACUCUGCAAGAGACUCGGCCAACACAGGCAUAGAGCUACAUGCAGCAGGUAACCAGCAGGCCCAGGGCACCUGUCCUCCUCCUGGACGGCCCCCAGCCCAGAGGGCACAGCGGACCCAUUCCUGCCCCUCCCCCACCAGGACCGCCUCUGCCUGGGAGCUGCCCCUGGGGAGACGGGCUGGACGCUGGGCACCUCCGGACUCUGGCCGUUGUCCACCCACAUGACCACAUGACAGUCAGAAUGGUCCUCUGAUAAAUGUCUGACAUCCACACCCAGUUCUGACAUUUAAAAUAAGAAAAAAAUGACAGCACCUUCUAAAUAGCUCGUGCAAUAUUCUGAGCGUUUUCCCAUCUGAGCCUGUUCGUUCUCACACUGAUCCUCAGACAGCCCCAGUUAAUGAUGGGAAAGCAGAAGAGAGAGGUCAGUUGAUUCCCCGAGACAGCACAGCAGCAGCUGGUGGGGCUGGCAUUGGACCCAGACCACCUGGCCCCGGGCCGCUCACCUGCCCACCACACUGCCCUAUCGGCCAAGCAGAAAGCCAGGGGGGCCUGUCCCCACGAGGACAGCUCUGCAGCCGUGUCAGCACUGGGCAGAGCCCUCUUCUGUGUGGACAGCUGACCUGUACCCUUCCAGCCCACGACUGCCCAGGGAACACCUGAUCCGGUCAAAGCCCCACAGCCUGGGGGAGGAGGGAGGGCUCCUAGCGAGACGGUGAGGACACAGCCCUGCCCGUGGAGGGCUUUAGUAAUGAACCAAAGCCAUUUCAGGGGAGAUUAGAGGCGACGCUGAUAGGAGUCUGCAAAGCAGCGUGAACAUGCAGUGGGGCCAGGAUUAGCCACGGGAUGAAAUCUGGGUCCCAGAGCCCAAAUCUCGCCCAGCUGCUGGGGGAAUUUGCCGGGAAACUGCUCAGGGCUCUGUCAAGCGGCUGACGGAGGAAGGGGUUGAGGAUAAAUUGCUUCUUGGUGACUAGUAAUCGCCUAAUCUGGGCCGUGGGCUGGAAAGCAUCUGAUGCUUCCGAGUGGGAAUUGUGGUCCGACCCGCAGAUACUUUGGGAUUUGGGUCUUAAUGAAAUUGGACAAAGACUGAGAAAGUGAGGUGUGAGGGGCCCGCUCUUUCCGAGACCCUCCGAGGAGACCCCGGGGUGGGGCAGAGCCCACGCCCUCCAGGGGCCGAGAGCCGUGACGGGACAGCCACAAAGAGCCCUCAGUCAGCUGCUCCCAGCGCUGAGCCGGGUUUCAGGCCCUCGCCCCAGGGCCUCUGCCAGGACACUCAGCUCAGGCCAGACCUGGUCCUUCCAAGGUGUCUAUGGGGGCCCCGGGGACUGCGCUGAGAGGGGCUCAGCCUUGGAUAUGGGGGCGGCCGGCACACGUGCAGGUGGGCGUGGACCCUCCCCAACCCCCAGCCAUCACAGAGCUGGAUGGAGGUGACACCGCCCUUGUGCUGAGAAGGAAGGGCCACUGCGGUUUGAUCCAAGAGAAGGGGGCUCCUUGCCCGUGAUGCUUAUCCACGGCCCAGGAGUAGGGAGCGAACGCCACAGGAGCCAGCCCUGGGGACACGCCACCAAACCCCGGGGCCAGAGCCUCCGAAGUGUGGGGUCGAGAGAGAUGAGAGGCUGGGAAACUGUCCGUGGUCCCGGCUGAUCCCGGAGCCGACGGGGGUCACCACCGGGAAAGUGGGUGGAGCCAGUAGAGCCCGGGACUAGUUCUCGGGGCGGGGAGCCCCUGCUCCGUGCCGGGUUGGGUGAGACGUUGCAGAGGAAGCCAGGAGAAGGGCACACAGGGACUCUGCCGUCUUUUCGACUCCGUGUAAAGCUGAAAUUAUUUCAAAAUAAAACUUUAAAAGGGAGGAUGCGUAUGAAGUGGGCGGCUGAAAUGACGUCCUGACUUCGUCGGAUAAGAAACAGCACUUCCCAGAGCAGGUGCUGAGGUCCUGCAAGGCCCCCGUGGGAGGCUCUUUUAAAAUGUGAGCAGAGUUUAAAAAAUGGAACUUUAAUACCUAUAGUCAGUGAGAAAAAAAUAGGAAAUGAUAUAAAAGACAGGAGAAGCUGCAUUUUCCCCACUUCUGGAUCUAGGGGAACGGCAUUUUGGAGCGGGGGCGGGGGGGACACAAGGAGAUUUUGCAGCCCCCCGCAGAGCGGUUGGUUUCUAAGUAAACUGGGAAGGAAAGAAAUGCUGGCAGGCAGAUGGUCCUGUGUCCUGGGCCAGGAGCGGAGGCUGGGAACAGGCUCCAGGACAAAACGCCCCCUUUACUGAGAAGCGGGAGGGACGGCCGCUGUAUCCUAACACCACGGCUUUAAGUCAGAUCCUGGCUGGGGGUGAGAUCAGAGCAUUCCAAGGGGAGCUCGCUGAAGUCCCAGGCUCGGGGGCCCGUCGGAGCUGCAGCUGUCAGCGACAGCACAGCCACAGCACGUGGACUCCAAGCCAAGUCUGCAACCUACACCACAGCUCCCAGCAACACCAGACCCUUAACCCACUGAGGGAGGCCAGGGAUCAACCUGCCUCCUCAUGCAUAGUCAGAGUCUUAACCCACUGAGCCACCACGGGAGCUCCGUAAAGUUCACCUUUAAACUAACCUCUGCUUGUCUGGAAAGACGGAAAACCUGACUUUAAGGUGGGGCGAGUGGUUCUCAUUUCCACAGAUGUUUUAUAAAAAUGCAGCAAAGCCUUCUCGACUUCCAGCCAGCAUGUUGGGGCUUUGGCAUCGUUCAGGCCGGAGGCACCGAACUCUCCAAGGGAUCUAAAACUGCGGGUUAGGCACUCCCGUCGUGGUGCAGUGGAAAUAAAUCCAACCAGGAACCAUGAGGAUGCGGGUUCGAUCCCUGUCCUCACUCAGUGGGUUAAGGAUCCGGCGUAGAGUGAGCUGUGGUGUAGGUUGCAGACGCGGCUCAGAUCCUGCAUUGCUGUGGCUGUGGUGUCGGCCGGCAGCUGUAGCUCUGAUUAGACCCCUAGCCUGGGAACCUCCAUAUGCCACGGGUGCAGCCCUAAAAAGCAAAAACAUUUAAAACAAAUAAAUAAAACUGCUAGUUAAGCUUCAGGAACUCGGGCUUCAUAGCAGAAAGCACGGUCCCCGGGGGCACCCGCUCCUCACGCCCAAGGGGACGCAGGACAUGCCCUGUGGGGUCUCCUGGAGCCCACCCAGACCUGCCGUGUGGCCUCAGCCAGGGCACUCUGUCCAUCCCCAGCCGCACACCUGCAGGUGCUGUUGGGCGGAGCACAUGGAAGAGACAGGGCCAAGUGGGAUCCGUUUCCUCUUGAUGAGACUCUAAACCUCUGUCCCCUCCCCGUCCCCAGGAGGCCUGAGUGAAAGCUCUCAUGCCUCUGAGCUCUGCACUCAGACCCCCGUGUCCUUGGACUAAAAGGCCAGCCACAGAAGUGACCAGACAGGGCAGGGCUGCUCCGUGUUCCUCCCGAGUUAAACGCACGUCCCCGGCCCGCCCACCUUGACCGCCAGCGGAGCAGACAGCCUCGCACCCAAAAAAGAAAACUUCCCUCAACAUUGUCAAUCACCGCACUUCAGUUUUUAAAAAGAAAAACUUCCCGUGUUGCUUCCAUACGGGCUGAUUUUCCUAACCCAGCUGCCACGAGAAAAAGUCUGCUGAGGUUUUGGGGGUCUAGAGUCUAACCGGUUACAAGGUAAUUGCUAACAACGAAAAUGCCCGGCUUUGCAGUCAACUCCUCAAAUUCCUUUACAGGAGAAUCAGGUCACAUACGUACAGUUCCGACUGGCACGUGUCGUCACCGAUACAUCUGCGCCGUUUAGAUACUCACGCCCAAAGUUGUUCCAAAUCUGUCUCGGGAGAGUGUUUAAUAGGAGUUUGGCAAAUGACAUUUCUGCAGACUCCUCUGGAAAUGGCAUUUGUUAAGCUGCCAUCUGAGAAGUAAUUUGUGUCAUUUGCUGGGGUUCAUUAUUGCAGAUAUUAGCAAUCAAUAUUUCUUCCCUCCAAAAGGACAGCAGCUGGCUCUCAGGACCCACAGAAAGCU
rnacentral:lncRNA from 1 species